rnacentral:lncRNA from 1 species
UUUCGAUCACAGCUCUUCACGGGGAUUUCUGCUGCCGCCACCGCCCACUCUUACCCCCGCCGCUUCUCGACUCUGUUGUUAGCCGAAGACUCGCCUCUCAGCCGCCCGCCGCACAGACGCACGAGUAAAAAGUGCAGCUCCAUCGGCUGAUCCUCGCUAAGCUCCGACUCUGGGCGGCACCGGGCGUCCCACGAUGCCGAAGAACAAGAAGCGGAACACUCCCCACCGCGGUAGCAGUGCUGGCGGCGGCGGGUCAGGAGCAGCCGCAGCGACGGCGGCGACAGCAGGUGGCCAGCAUCGAAAUGUUCAGCCUUUUAGUGAUGAAGAUGCAUCAAUUGAAACAAUGAGCCAUUGCAGUGGUUAUAGCGAUCCUUCCAGUUUUGCUGAAGAUGGACCAGAAGUCCUUGAUGAGGAAGGAACUCAAGAAGACCUAGAGUACAAGUUGAAGGGAUUAAUUGACCUAACCCUGGAUAAGAGUGCGAAGACAAGGCAAGCAGCUCUUGAAGGUAUUAAAAAUGCACUGGCUUCAAAAAUGCUGUAUGAAUUUAUUCUGGAAAGGAGAAUGACUUUAACUGAUAGCAUUGAACGCUGCCUGAAAAAAGGUAAGAGUGAUGAGCAACGUGCAGCUGCAGCGUUAGCAUCUGUUCUUUGUAUUCAGCUGGGCCCUGGAAUUGAAAGUGAAGAGAUUUUGAAAACUCUUGGACCAAUCCUAAAGAAAAUCAUUUGUGAUGGGUCAGCUAGUAUGCAGGCUAGGCAAACUUGUGCAACUUGCUUUGGUGUUUGCUGUUUUAUUGCCACAGAUGACAUUACUGAACUAUACUCAACUCUGGAAUGUUUGGAAAAUAUCUUCACUAAAUCCUAUCUC